rnacentral:lncRNA from 1 species
UACUGGUCUUGUUGGAGUCUUGCUAAUCCUCAAAUAGAAUGGACACUCAGGUUUGCAGGCCACCACCACCCUCUUCUUGUCGUUCUUAAUAAUUUUCGCAUCCUUUUUGUUUUCUAGUGCAUAAUCCUUGACACCAUCUUUGAAUAGGUCCUUGUUAGUGAAAGUCAGUCCACACUCAAAUUGGACUAUACCACUUUCAGAGGGCUUAAACCUACGAUAUUUUGGCUUAGGCUCCAGCUCAUCACCACUCUCAGAACCUGUGUCUAAGUCUUCUGAAUCACCAUCUUCAUCUUCAAAGUCAGAGGCAUCCUUUUUGUUUUCUAGUGCAUAAUCCUUGACACCAUCUUUGAAUAGGUCCUUGUUAGUGAAAGUCAGUCCACACUCAAAUUGUACUAUACCACUUUCAGAGGGCUUAAACCUGCGAUAUUUUGGCUUAGGCUCCAGUUCAUCACCACUCUCAGAACCUGUGUCUAAGUCUUCUGAAUCACCAUCUUCAUCUUCA